CUGACAUCCCAGAGAAAUUUGAUGCUGAGUCAGUUGCAGGAGCUGAAGGGAGAGAACCAGGACUUGGCUGAGAAACUUAGGAAUGCAGAGGCAGCCCUGCAGCUGGAGAG